AGGACGAACGCUGGCGGCGCGCUUAACACAUGCAAGUCGAACGUGAAGCCCGGGCUUGCCCGGGUGGAAAGUGGCGAACGGGUGCGUAACACGUGAGCAACCUGCCCAGAAGACCGGGAUAACAGCGGGAAACCGCUGCUAAUACCGGAUGCCCUCAUCAUGUCGCAUGGCGAGAUGAGGAAAUGGAUUCCGCUUCGGGAUGGGCUCGCGGCCUAUCAGCUUGUUGGUGAGGUAACGGCUCACCAAGGCAACGACGGGUAGCUGGUCUGAGAGGAUGUCCAGCCACACUGGGACUGAGACACGGCCCAGACUCCUACGGGAGGCAGCAGUGGGGAAUCUUGCACAAUGGGCGAAAGCCUGAUGCAGCGACGCCGCGUGCGGGAUGACGGCCUUCGGGUUGUAAACCGCUUUCAGCAGGGACGAUUAUGACGGUACCUGCAGAAGAAGCCCGGCCACUACGUGCAGCAGCCGCGGUAAU
rnacentral:rRNA from 1 species